rnacentral:rRNA from 1 species
AACGAACGCUGGCGGCGUGCCUAACACAUGCAAGUCGAACGAGAAAGGGGCUUCGGCUCCGAGUAAAGUGGCGCACGGGUGAGUAACACGUGGGUAACCUGCCUCUAAGAUUGGGACAACUCGUCGAAGAUGAGCUAAUACCGAAUAAGACACAGUUCCUGCGGGAACAGGGUCAAAGGUAGCCUCUGCUUGCAAGCUAUCACUUAGAGAUGGGCCUGCGC